AAUUCCCAGCCAUUGACCCCCAUUUCUCUCUCUCCCUCCCUCUUGCCCUGCCUCUUUCUCUCCACCCCUAUCUUUCCUGGAAACUCGCUUUGGGCGCGGCAGAUCGCCCAGGACCACACCGCAGCGUAACUGCAGGCCUCUCAGCGAAAAAGGGGGAAAGCAAAGACCCGGGUCUGCAUCCUCUACCUCGGCUUCCGCCCCUCUCCGGCGGAGUGGAGAUCCUAUUCAGAGGGGCCGGUCUCUCUAAAUAUGCCCCAGGUGGAAAUAUUCUGGCUGUCUGGCAACUGCAGAUGAGGAUUUCCUGUUGGGGGCUAUAAGCAGGGUCUCCGUAGUACAAAGAGAGAGGAGCUGUAGUCGUCAAAUACUCUAAAACGAUUCAGUCUAAAAUCUCCCUCCUCCUUCAUUCUCCCCAAAUAAAAACAAACAAAAUCAC
rnacentral:sRNA from 1 species